AUCUGAUACAGAUUAUUGGUGCCUCUGUGGUCAAUGUCAUGGCAGAAAGCAGCAGCGAGCAUGGCAAAAGCUUCGAGGGAAAUGUGCAGGUUUAUGAUUGACAGCGCUCUGGACCUACCAUCAGCAAAGUGAACAUGGUCUGCCCCACAUUGAAUCCGUGCCGCCAGUUGUGGUGAUUUUAAGCAAGACAAAAAUGUGUGGAGCAGAGAGGACCUUCUCCUUGGUCAUGUCCAGCAGUCCAAUGGAGUACCGUUCACAGUUCAGCAGAGAGGAAGUAGAUCUUCCCAGAUACAAGCCUCAUGUGGUAGAUGCAAGAGAUGAUUCUAAUACACUCACCAUGGAAAGAGCAGAGAGGUGAGUUUGGAAAGGUGCGUAAACAAAAGGGCUUGAGAAGAAGGUGAAGGAUGGUGGUUGUCUUAUUGGCUGUAAGUCAGAGGAAUAUGACUCUGCAUGGGAAUAGACUCAGCCUUCCCUGGUCCUGACUAGCUUCUCUUUGGACCUGAGGCUUCUUCAAUUAGAACUGAACUUACAGCCUAGCUCUGAGAAUCCUUGGCCAAAAUUAACGUGGUGUUCUCUCACAAGUUGUAUUAUUUUCAUUUCCUAAUGUUGAUGGUGCUUCUAAGAGCAGCACAAACCUUGGAGGCUGGACUCUGAU